AUUGAACGCUGGCGGCAGGCCUAACACAUGCAAGUCGAGCGGCAGCGGGAAAGUAGCUUGCUACUUUUGCCGGCGAGCGGCGGACGGGUGAGUAAUGCCUGGGAAAUUGCCCAGUCGAGGGGGAUAACAGUUGGAAACGACUGCUAAUACCGCAUACGCCCUACGGGGGAAAGCAGGGGACCUUCGGGCCUUGCGCGAUUGGAUAUGCCCAGGUGGGAUUAGCUAGUUGGUGAGGUAAUGGCUCACCAAGGCGACGAUCCCUAGCUGGUCUGAAAGGAUGAUCAGCCAAACUGGAACUGGGACACGGUCCAAACUCCUACGGGAGGCAGCAGUGGGGAAUAUUGCACAAUGGGGGAAACCCUGAUGCAGCCAUGCCGCGUGUGUGAAGAAGGCCUUCGGGUUGUAAAGCACUUUCAGCGAGGAGGAAAGGUUGAUGCCUAAUACGUAUCAACUGUGACGUUACUCGCAGAAGAAGCACCGGCUAACUCCGUGCCAGCAGCCGCCGCCGUAA
rnacentral:rRNA from 1 species